ACGACCUUACUUGAACAGGAUCUGUUCUAUAGGCUCGUACCUCUGUGUCCUUGAACGCAAAGGAGACAGGAAUCCAAGUCUGGUGGAUGAAACAUGACCGUGUGAUCAGAGCGUGAUUAAGAGUUGCACGGUCAGCCCGAUCGUUGCGGCUGCAGAGGAACGUUCUCGAUCAGCUUGUCUGGUUGGGAUGAUCAUGCGGUUGUCUGACAGGCU